AAAAGUAUUAAAAGUAGUAUUGUCUAUGUCGGUGAUGUGACCUUGAAGUUUUUAUCCAUCCCAAAAUCGCCAAACGCGUCAAAAGAAGUUUUCAUUU